GCAGUCGAGCGAUGAAAUCCCUUCGGGGAUGGAUUAGCGGCGGACGGGUGAGUAACACGUGGGUAACCUGCCUCAAAGAGGGGGAUAGCCUCCCGAAAGGGAGAUUAAUACCGCAUAACAUUGGUUUUUCGCAUGGGAAACUAAUUAAAGGAGUAAUCCGCUUUGAGAUGGACCCGCGGCGCAUUAGCUAGUUGGUGAGGUAACGGCUCACCAAGGCGACGAUGCGUAGCCGACCUGAGAGGGUGAUCGGCCACAUUGGAACUGAGACACGGUCCAGACUCCUACGGGAGGCAGCAGUGGGGAAUAUUGCACAAUGGGCGAAAGCCUGAUGCAGCAACGCCGCGUGAGUGAUGAAGGCCUUCGGGUUGUAAAGCUCUGUCUUUUGGGACGAUAAUGACGGUACCAAAGGAGGAAGCCACGGCUAACUACGUGCCAGCAGCCGCGGUAAUACGUAGGUGGCAAGCGUUGUCCGGAUUUACUGGGCGUAAAGGAUGCGUAGGCGGACUUUUAAGUGAGAUGUGAAAACCCCGGGCUCAACUUGGGGACUGCAUUUCAAACUGGAAGUCUAGAGUGCGGGAGAGGAAAGUGGAAUUCCUAGUGUAGCGGUGAAAUGCGUAGAGAUUAGGAAGAACACCAGUGGCGAAGGCGACUUUCUGGACCGUAACUGACGCUGAGGCAUGAAAGCGUGGGUAGCAAACAGGAUUAGAUACCCUGGUAGUCCACGCCGUAAACGAUGAGUACUAGGUGUAGGAGGUAUCGACCCCUUCUGUGCCGCAGUUAACACAAUAAGUACUCCGCCUGGGAAGUACGAUCGCAAGAUUAA
rnacentral:rRNA from 1 species